UACGUAGGGUGCGAGCGUUGUCCGGAUUUAUUGGGCGUAAAGCGUGCGUAGGCGGCUGCGCAAGUCGGGUGUGAAACCCCGGGGCUCAACCCCGGAACUGCAUCCGAUACUGCGUGGCUAGAGGUAGGUAGGGGAGAUCGGAAUUCCUGGUGUAGCGGUGAAAUGCGCAGAUAUCAGGAGGAACACCGGUGGCGAAGGCGGAUCUCUGGGCCUUACCUGACGCUCAGGCACGAAAGCUAGGGGAGCGAACAGG
rnacentral:rRNA from 1 species